rnacentral:rRNA from 1 species
GAACCUGCGGAGGAUCAUUACCGAAUUGUUUACAAGAGUUGUUGCUGGUCCGAAAAGGGGAAUGUGCACACUCUGUUCACACAUCCACUCACAAAAGAAGCACCCUCUGUAGUUCUAUGGCCUGGGUGGGCUCUGUCCUCCCGCUGUGGUUCUACGUCUUUACACACACCUUCUAACAAAGUCUUAUGGAAUGUAUGUCGCGUUUAACGCAAUGAAAUACAACUUUCAGCAACGGAUCUCUUGGCUCUCGCAUCGAUGAAGAACGCAGCGAAAUGCGAUAAGUAAUGUGAAUUGCAGAAUUCAGUGAAUCAUCGAAUCUUUGAAUGCACCUUGCGCCCUUUGGCUAUUCCGAAGGGCAUGCCUGUUUGAGUAUCUUGAACACCUCAACUCUCGUGGCUUGUCUUGACGAGCUUGGACUCUGCGGGUUUUGUGGGGGCUGGUAAACACCUCCUCUUAAAUGAAUUAGCUUGCCGGAGUUUGGGCAGCCUCACAGGUGUGAUUACUAUUUACGCUUGUGGUUUUCCCAUCAUGGAACCUUC